CCUACGGGAGGCAGCAGUGAGGAAUAUUGGUCAAUGGACGGGAGACUGAACCAGCCAAGCCGCGUGAGGGAUGAAGGUACAGAGUAUCGUAAACCUCUUUUGUCAGGGAACAAAGGCGGGGACGUGUCCCCGGAUGAGUGUACCUGAAGAAAAAGCAUCGGCUAACUCCGUGCCAGCAGCCGCGGUAAUACGGAGGAUGCGAGCGUUAUCCGGAUUUAUUGGGUUUAAAGGGUGCGCAGGCGGUCUGUUAAGUCAGGGGGAAAAGCCCGGGGCUAAACCCGGGCCCGACGUUGAAACUGGCAGUCUCGAGUGGGAGAGAGGUAUGCGGAAUGCGCGGUGUAGCGGUGAAAUGCAUAGAUAUCGCGCAGAACUCCGAUUGCGAAGGCAGCAUGCCGGCUCCACACUGACGCUGAGGCACGAAAGCGUGGGUAUCGAACAGGAUUAGAUACCCGAGUAGUC
rnacentral:rRNA from 1 species